rnacentral:rRNA from 1 species
CCUACGGGAGGCAGCAGUGAGGAAUAUUGGUCAAUGGCCGCAGGGCUGAACCAGCCAAGUCGCGUGAGGGAUGACGGUCCUAUGGAUUGUAAACCUCUUUUGUCAGGGAGCAAAGGGCGCCACGUGUGGCGCUUUGCGAGUACCUGAAGAAAAAGCAUCGGCUAACUCCGUGCCAGCAGCCGCGGUAAUACGGAGGAUGCGAGCGUUAUCCGGAUUUAUUGGGUUUAAAGGGUGCGCAGGCGGAAUGUCAAGUCAGCGGUAAAAUUUCGGGGCUCAACCCCGUCGUGCCGUUGAAACUGGCGUUCUUGAGUGAGCGAGAAGUACGCGGAAUGCGUGGUGUAGCGGUGAAAUGCAUAGAUAUCACGCAGAACUCCGAUUGCGAAGGCAGCAUACCGGCGCUCAACUGACGCUCAUGCACGAAAGCGUGGGUAUCGAACAGGAUUAGAUACCCCAGUAGUC